rnacentral:rRNA from 1 species
CCUACGGGUGGCAGCAGUGGGGGAUAUUGGACAAUGGGGGAAACCCUGAUCCAGCGACGCCGCGUGAGUGAAGAAGUAUUUCGGUAUGUAAAGCUCUAUCAGCAGGGAAGAAAGAAAUGACGGUACCUGAGUAAGAAGCCCCGGCUAACUACGUGCCAGCAGCCGCGGUAAUACGUAGGGGGCAAGCGUUAUCCGGAAUUACUGGGUGUAAAGGGAGCGUAGACGGCAGCGCAAGUCUGGAGUGAAAUGCCGGGGCCCAACCCCGGAACUGCUCUGGAAACUGUGAAGCUGGAGUGCAGGAGAGGUAAGCGGAAUUCCUGGUGUAGCGGUGAAAUGCGUAGAUAUCAGGAGGAACACCGGCGGCGAAGGCGGCUUACUGGACUGUAACUGACGUUGAGGCUCGAAGGCGUGGGGAGCAAACAGGAUUAGAUACCCGGGUAGUC